rnacentral:lncRNA from 1 species
GCUGAAGGGCUCACCCCAUUGCCUCCCCAAGAAGCAGGUCUCUCCAGACAAACCAUCUUUCUCCUACUUGGCAAUACCCAAGGAGCAGACCAUAUUUGUUCAGGCAAUGAAUUUUCUGGCAAACUCUAUUUGAUUUACAUGCAAAACUUCACAUCUCAAACAAACAAACAAAAAACCCAGUCAUGUCUGGACGCUGCUGGUUUUUUCCAGCUGAACAAGACCUGGAUUUUGUUGGUUAUAGAUGUAAUUCCAGAGGGAGGAAAGAUGAAAACCCAUGCCAGGGACAGGUCCAGAUGGCAGGAGUUUUCUCUUUGCUUUGGCUUCCCUGGGCAUAGCCCACUCUUGCCAGGGAUCUACGAUCACCUGUAAUCUACCUUCCCGAGGAGCAGUGAUGGAUUGCUGGGGGCUGCCUCACCUCAUGGCAGGCAAAUGGAAGAAAGCUGUUCUCGCCUUAGGAAAGAAAGAUUUAACUAAUGUACCCACCUU